rnacentral:sRNA from 1 species
CCACGAGGGAAGUUUUUGUGUUAGUACCAGUAAAUCGUUAUUCGGCCGAUUGAAUAAUCAAUCAAUUGCACCCCCGUUUUAUCAAAAUAAUCUUGUCAGUUCCCUCAGUAGAUAUCAAUGUGAAACUAAUAGCUCCUUCCUAGACAAUGUAUUGACUUAAAGCACAGCUUCAGUGUAGAGGCAGUUUGCUGAGAAGACUAACCCAGUUUGUACUAUUAUCCCCUUGGUACAAAGUUGUAAGAGCGAAACGAAACCUCCAACUAGGGUCGGUACAACAUAUCGAUUUGUUUGCAGAGCGCACAACUCCAGCAAUGUUCAGUGGUCAUCUGAUGUAGCUGCUUCAGGAAGUGCAAGGAAUGACGAGUCAGCGACGUUCCUUUGUCUCUAUAUAUUGAGCCGCACGUUACAAAUGAAGCAUAUUAAUAUGAACGAGGAUCCAAGAAGCAAGGCUCCGCCCGGUGUGGCAGCUAUAUGAUGGGACUGACGCCCAGAGAGCGCAUCGGGGUAGCAGCGGGCGACGCUACGGGUAUAGCGGCGAAAUGUUUUGUUUGCUUUCACAGUAAAAAAAAGUGGGGUAAAAUAACAAGCACAUUUGUGGAUCAACUCGUGUUCACUGGGCCGCUGCCUCCCUUUGAGGGCACAUUGUUCACAGGGUUCAACGAAAAAAAAUUAGCACCAAAUUCACUUAACCAAAUAACGUUCAUUUAUUAGCUGAAAGAAAGCUCCCCCAGAGGGGAAAGCUUCUCGAAGCCAAAUGGAGACGGCUUAAGGCUUAAGGCCUACAGC